GGUGAACGCUGGCGGCGUGCCUAAUACAUGCAAGUCGAGCGAACAGACGAGGAGCUUGCUCCUCUGACGAUAGCGGCGGACGGGUGAGUAACACGUGGAUAACCUACCUAUAAGACUGGGAUAACUUCGGGAAACCGGAGCUAAUACCGGAUAAUAUAUUGAACCGCAUGGUUCAAUAGUGAAAGACGGUUUUGCUGUCACUUAUAGAUGGAUCCGCGCCGCAUUAGCUAGUUGGUAAGGUAACGGCUUACCAAGGCGACGAUGCGUAGCCGACCUGAGAGGGUGAUCGGCCACACUGGAACUGAGACACGGUCCAGACUCCUACGGGAGGCAGCAGUAGGGAAUCUUCCGCAAUGGGCGAAAGCCUGACGGAGCAACGCCGCGUGAGUGAUGAAGGUCUUCGGAUCGUAAAACUCUGUUAUUAGGGAAGAACAAAUGUGUAAGUAACUAUGCACGUCUUGACGGUACCUAAUCAGAAAGCCACGGCUAACUACGUG
rnacentral:rRNA from 1 species